GCAUGGGUUUAGAUUUAUGGCAGGCCCUUCUCCUUGAUCUCUCAUAGUGUUCCAUACUAGAACAAACUAGCCCUGAACCGUUGCCCGGCCUCCUUGUUCGUAGGCUUCAGCAUUGAAGUGGGUUUCACAGUG
rnacentral:snoRNA from 1 species